rnacentral:sRNA from 25 species
GUCAACACCUCUGCCUAAAGGCUAGGGCUUCUAGCUCCACUUUAGGAUUAGUUGACCCGGCUCAGUACCAGAUGUACUACGUUAUUGGUAAGUUUUUGAGUUCUCACUCUGGAAUGCUAACGCCAGUUCCGGACUCUGAA